CAGUCCUUUCCAACCCAAGGCAGUCUACGGUUGUAUGAUUCUUCAAAAUCGGCUUAAGAUUUGAAGCCUCACCUUUGGCUAGCAGGACAUCCAAAGCAAUGCCACUGCAGCACAAGCAACCAUCUUUUAAUCUUGCAGUGAAGUUCGAAGCACUGGGUGUGCAUAUCCUAUACUUGCAGGCACACCAGCUCACUUCAAGGCACUGUGCACCUUUCCUGGGCUUGGCUUUCAAGCUGUCGAAGAUGGGAGACAACACAGGCUCUCCCCCCACCACCCCCGCUCUUCGUGUGCAGAACACUGUUUCAUCUCCUCAAUUCCUUUCUCCAUUAAAACACAUUCAAACAUAAUUAGUGUAACAUUAAAAAUGGAGGAAAUUU